rnacentral:rRNA from 1 species
GUGCCAGCAGCCGCGGUAAUACGGAGGGGGCGAGCGUUGUUCGGAAUUACUGGGCGUAAAGAGCGCGUAGGCGGUUUAGUAAGUCGGAAGUGAAAGCCCCGGGCUCAACCUGGGAACUGCUUUCGAAACUGCGAGACUGGAGACCGGUAGAGGAUGGCGGAAUUCCCCGUGUAGAGGUGAAAUUCGUAGAUAUGGGGAGGAACACCAGAGGCGUAGGCGGCCAUCUGGACCGGUACUGACGCUGAGGCGCGAAAGCGUGGGGAGCAAACAGGAUUAGAAACCCCGGUAGUCC